GACGAACGCUGGCGGCGUGCUUAACACAUGCAAGUCGAACGGAAAGGCCCUGCUUUUGUGGGGUGCUCGAGUGGCGAACGGGUGAGUAACACGUGAGUAACCUGCCCUUGACUUUGGGAUAACUUCAGGAAACUGGGGCUAAUACCGGAUAGGAGCUCCUGCUGCAUGGUGGGGGUUGGAACGUUUCGGCGGUUGGGGAUGGACUCGCGGCUUAUCAGCUUGUUGGUGGGGUAGUGGCUUACCAAGGCUUUGACGGGUAGCCGGCCUGAGAGGGUGACCGGCCACAUUGGGACUGAGAUACGGCCCAGACUCCUACGGGAGGCAGCAGUGGGGAAUAUUGCACAAUGGGCGGAAGCCUGAUGCAGCAACGCCGCGUGCGGGAUGACGGCCUUCGGGUUGUAAACCGCUUUCGCCUGUGACGAAGCGUGUGUGACGGUAAUGGGUAAAGAAGCACCGGCUAACUACGUG
rnacentral:rRNA from 1 species